AGUUAUCUAACUCCCAAACCCAUGUGAACUUACCACUGUUGCCUCGGCAGAUGUUGCUGGGCGAACCUACCCUGUAGCGAGCUACUCUGUAGCGACCUACCCGGGAACGGCUUACCCUGUAGCGCCUGCCGGUGGACUACUAAACUCUUGUUAUUUUUAAGUAAUCUGAGCGUCUUAUUUUAAUAAGUCAAAACUUUCAACAACGGAUCUCUUGGUUCUGGCAUCGAUGAAGAACGCAGCGAAAUGCGAUAAGUAAUGUGAAUUGCAGAAUUCAGUGAAUCAUCGAAUCUUUGAACGCACAUUGCGCCCAUUAGUAUUCUAGUGGGCAUGCCUGUUCGAGCGUCAUUUCAACCCUUAAGCCUAGCUUAGUAUUGGGAACUGGCUUUACUGCCAUUCCUCAAAUUCAACGGCGGAUUUAUAGCAAUCUCUGAACGUAGUAAUUUUUUUCUCGUUUUUGAAAUACUGUAAACCUCAGCCGCUAAACCCCCCAAUUUUUAAUGGUUGACCUCGGAUCAGGUAGGAAUACCCGCUGAACUUAAGCAUAUCAAUAAGCGGAGGAAAAGAAACCAACAGGGAUUGCCUUAGUAACGGCGAGUGAAGCGGCAAUAGCUCAAAUUUGAAAUCUGGCGCUUGCGUCCGAGUUGUAAUUUGCAGAGGAUGAUUUUGGUUAGGUACCUUCCGAGUUCCUUGGAACAGGACGCCUUAGAGGGUGAGAGCCCCGUACGGUUGGAUGCCGAGCCUUUGUAAAUCUCCUUCGACGAGUCGAGUAGUUUGGGAAUGCUGCUCUAAAUGGGAGGUAAAUUUCUUCUAAAGCUAAAUACCGGCCAGAGACCGAUAGCGCACAAGUAGAGUGAUCGAAAGAUGAAAAGCACUUUGAAAAGAGGGUUAAAUAGCACGUGAAAUUGUUGAAAGGGAAGGAUUUAUGACCAGACUUUUUCUAGGAGGAUCAUCCGGUGUUCUCACCGGUGCACUUCUUCUAGUCUAGGCCAGCAUCGACUUUCGGCGGUGGAUAAAAGCUUUGGGAAUGUGACUCCUUUCGGGGAGUGUUAUAGCCUAUUGUAUAAUACACUGCUGGGGGUCGAGGUACGCGC
rnacentral:rRNA from 1 species